rnacentral:rRNA from 1 species
UGGGGAAUAUUGCACAAUGGGCGAAAGCCUGAUGCGGCAACGCCGCGUGAGGGACGACGGCCUUCGGGUUGUAAACCUCUUUUAGCAAGGAAGAAGCGAAAGUGACGGUACUUGCAGAAAAAGCGCCGGCUAACUACGUGCCAGCAGCCGCGGUAAUACGUAGGGCGCAAGCGUUAUCCGGAAUUAUUGGGCGUAAAGAGCUCGUAGGCGGUUUGUCGCGUCUGCUGUGAAAACCCGAGGCUCAACCUCGGGCCUGCAGUGGGUACGGGCAGACUAGAGUGCGGUAGGGGAGAUUGGAACUCCUGGUGUAGCGGUGGAAUGCGCAGAUAUCAGGAAGAACACCGAUGGCGAAGGCAGAUCUCUGGGCCGUAACUGACGCUGAGGAGCGAAAGGGUGGGGAGCAAACAGGCUUAGAUACCCUGGUAGUCCACCCCGUAAACGUUGGGAACUAGUUGUGGGUCCAUUCCACGGAUUCCGUGACGCAGCUAACGCAUUAAGUUCCCCGCCUGGGGAGUACGGCCGCAAGGCUAAACUUAAAUGAAUUGACGGGGUCAUAGCUGUUUCCU